GACGAACCUGACAAACGUUAUUCGGAAUUACUGGGCUUAAAGAGUUCGUAGGCGGCGCAGAAAGUAGGGUGUGAAAGCCCUCGGCUCAACCGAGGAAUUGCGCUCUAAACUACUGUGCUUGAGGAAUCUAGAGGUGAGCGGAACUGAUGGUGGAGCGGUGAAAUGCGUUGAUAUCAUCAGGAACACCGGAGGCGAAGGCGGCUCACUGGGGAUUUUCUGACGCUGAGGAACGAAAGCCAGGGGAGCGAACGGG
rnacentral:rRNA from 1 species